UUUCAUAGUUUGUUUUUGUCUUUUCUGACUCUCCUAUGUAAAGGACUUACCUUUGGCAUCUACAGCAUCAAUGUUGAGGGAGGUGAUGCCAAUACUCCAUAAAGUCUAAACUCUUCACAAACAUAAAAACACAAGGAAAAUUAGCAAUGAAAUACAACAUCACAUAGUAAUUGAUUUUUUUGGGGGGGUGGGGGGAUCGUGGGAGGAAACCGGAGCACGCGGAGAAAACCCAACAUGGAGAACAUGCAAACUGAAGAAGAAGAAGAAGAGGAAGGACAGAAGGGUCCAGACUGGGAUUCAAACCUGGAACCCUCUGGCUAUGAGGCAACAGUGCAAACCAUUGCAUCACCAUGCCACACCCAUCCACGUGAUUACUGCAAGCCAAGGUUUCCCCGCAGAACAUUGCAUCGUAAAGAUAGGAUUAACGUUAUUCACAUCACCUUUCAGUGAUUUUAAUGUUGUAACUGAUCAGUGUAUGUAAA